rnacentral:rRNA from 1 species
AUUGAACGCUGGCGGCAUGCUUUACACAUGCAAGUCGAACGGCAGCGCGGGCUUCGGCCUGGCGGCGCGUGGCGAACGGGUGAGUAAUGAAUCGGAACGUGCCCAGUCGUGGGGGAUAGCACGGCGAAAGCCGGAUUAAUACCGCAUACGACCUGAGGGUGAAAGCGGGGGACCGAAAGGCCUCGCGCUAUUGGAGCGGCCGAUGUCGGAUUAGCUAGUUGGUGGGGUAAAGGCUUACCAAGGCGACGAUCCGUAGCUGGUCUGAGAGGACGACCAGCCACACUGGGACUGAGACACGGCCCAGACUCCUACGGGAGGCAGCAGUGGGGAAUUUUGGACAAUGGGGGCAACCCUGAUCCAGCCAUGCCGCGUGCGGGAAGAAGGCCUUCGGGUUGUAAACCGCUGUUGUUCGGGAAGAAAUCCUCUGGGCUAAUACCCCGGGGGGAUGACGGUACCGGAAGAAUAAGCACCGGCUAACUACGUG